rnacentral:rRNA from 1 species
UACGUUCCCGGACCUUGUACACACCGCCCGUCAAGCCAUGGAAGUUGGGAGGACCUGAAGCCAGUUGCUGUAAGGCGCUGUUUAGGGUUAAACCGAUGACUGGGGCU